GACGAACGCUGGCGGCGUGCCUAAUACAUGCAAGUCGAACGCACAGUUUAUACCGUAGCUUGCUACACCAUAGACUGUGAGUUGCGAACGGGUGAGUAACGCGUAGGUAACCUGCCUGGUAGCGGGGGAUAACUAUUGGAAACGAUAGCUAAUACCGCAUAAUAUUAAUUAUUGCAUGAUAAUUAAUUGAAAGGUGCAAUUGCACCACUACCAGAUGGACCUGCGUUGUAUUAGCUAGUAGGUGAGGUAACGGCUCACCUAGGCGACGAUACAUAGCCGAACUGAGAGGGUGAUCGGCCACACUGGGACUGAGACACGGCCCAGACUCCUACGGGAGGCAGCAGUAGGGAAUCUUCGGCAAUGGACGAAAGUCUGACCGAGCAACGCCGCGUGAGUGAAGAAGGUUUUCGGAUCGUAAAGCUCUGUUGUAAGAGAAGAACGGGUGUGAGAGUGGAAAGUUCACACUGUGACGGUAUCUUACCAGAAAGGGACGGCUAACUACGUG
rnacentral:rRNA from 1 species